GCAUAUUUGGGAUGGAGAGAUUUACCACAACAUACAUCUACACAAUAGAAUACUGGCAGAUGCAUAUUGUCUUCUAAGAGGCUCCAAUCAGCAGCUGACACCCACAGCCAAACAGUGGAUAGAGGUUGGCAACUCUUAUGAAAGAAUAGGAGGAAGGACUAUGACCCUGAGGCAGAUAGGAACUCUUCAGGAAGACCAACAGCAUCAACUAACCUGGACUCUUUGGCUCUCAGAGACUGAACCACCAGCCAAAGAACAUACACAAGCUGGAACUAGACUCUCCUGUUCAUAUGUAGUAGAUAUGCAGCUUGGCCUUCAUGUGGUUCCCAAACAACUGGUACAGGGGUUAUCCUAAUAGCUGUUGCCUGUACUCGGGAUAUGUUCUACAAACUGGGCUGCCUUGUCUGGCCUCAGUCAGAGAGGAAGCUCCUAGCCUCACAGAGACUUGAAAUGCCAGGGUGGGGAGGAAUUUGCCAGGGGGCCCUCACCUGCUCAGCAGAGAAGGCAAAGGAGUAUGGUGAAGUAUGUGGGCAGGAGUGACUGAGAGGCAGGCAGUGAGCAGGAUGUGAAGUGAAUAUUUAAAAUAAUAAAAUUAAAUUUAAAAAUUAAAGC
rnacentral:lncRNA from 1 species